GCUGGUUUAGCUCAGUUGGUAGAGCAACCGCCUUGAAUUACGAGUGCCUAAGGGGAAACCCUUGGAGUAGAACGAGCCAAAUUCGGUGAAGGCUUAGGGAGUAAUCCCAUGCUAAUACCGAGCGAAGCCUAGGAAACUAGGAACGUGUAGAGACUAGACGGUUCGCACCUAACGGCUUCGGCUUAUGGUGAAGGUAUAGUCCAGACCACGAACGGGCAACCCACGUUGCCCGGCGGCGAAAGUCGAAGUGGGAAGGUAAGCGGUAGGUCGUGAGUUCGAGUCCCACAACCAGCACCA
rnacentral:tRNA from 1 species